rnacentral:rRNA from 1 species
CCCUUAGAUGUUCUGGGCCGCACACGCGCUACACUGAAGGAGGCAGCGUGUACUCCUGGAUCGAAAGAUUUGGGUAACCCGCGAAUCUCCUUCGUGCUAGGGAUUGAGGUUUGCAAUUAUCCUUCAUGAACGAGGAAUUCCCAGUAAGUGCAAGUCAUAAGCUUGCGCUGACUACGUCCCUGCCCUUUGUACACACCGCCCGUCGCUACUACCGAUUGAAUGAUUUAGUGAGGACUUCGGACUGGGACCGAUGCGGCUUUCGGGCUGCGUCGGUAUUCUUGAAAGAUGUCCAAACUGUAUCAUUUAGAGGAAGUAAAAGUCGUANCA